rnacentral:rRNA from 1 species
GUCUAUGACCAUACCACCCUGAACAUACCUGGUCUUGUCUGAUCUCUGAAGCCAAGCAGGGUCAGGCCUGGUUAGUACUUGGAUGGGAGAAAAGAUUAGGGACUUGGGAU